rnacentral:rRNA from 1 species
UACGUAGGGGGCAAGCGUUGUCCGGAUUUACUGGGCGUAAAGAGCGUGUAGGCGGCCAAACAGGUCCGUUGUGAAAACUGGAGGCUUAACCUCCAGACGUCGACGGAAACCGUAUGGCUAGAGUCCGGAAGAGGAGAGUGGAAUUCCUGGUGUAGCGGUGAAAUGCGCAGAUAUCAGGAAGAACACCAAUGGCGAAGGCAGCUCUCUGGGACGGUACUGACGCUGAGGUGCGAAAGCUAGGGGAGCGAACAGG